rnacentral:rRNA from 1 species
UGAGGAACAUGACUUUCGGUGGGGGAUAGCCGGCCCAACGGCCGGGUAAUACCGCGUACGACCUUUUGGGGACAUCCCCGAUUGGUGAAAGCAGCAAUGCGCCGAAAGAGUGCCUCGCGGCCUAUCAGCUAGUUGGUGGGGUAAUGGCUCACCAAGGCGACGACGGGUAGCUGGUCUGAGAGGAUGGCCAGCCACAUUGGGACUGAGACACGGCCCAGACUCCUGCGGGA